rnacentral:rRNA from 1 species
UACGAAGGGGGCUAGCGUUGUUCGGAAUCACUGGGCGUAAAGCGCACGUAGGCGGAUCGCUGAGUCGGGGGUGAAAUCCCGAGGCUCAACCUCGGAACUGCCUUCGAUACUGGCGAUCUUCGAGUCCGGGAGAGGUGAGUGGAACUGCGAAGCGUAGAGGUGAAAUUCGUAGAUAUUCGCAAGAACACCAGUGGCGAAGGCGGCUUACUGGUCCGGUU